rfam:Rhodococcus kyotonensis strain KB10 scaffold6.1, whole genome shotgun sequence.
CGCGUUUUUCGCCUCGGAACUCGACCGGACCACGACGAGAUGAUCGCGUUCAUCGACGCGUACCGCGAUCGUUUCGGGGUCGAGUUCAUCUGUCGCGCUCUGCGGGCGGCG